rnacentral:tRNA from 2 species
GGAAGCGUGGCAGAGUGGUCUAAUGCACGGGUCUUGAAAACCCGCGACGGUUGACGCCGUCCGUGAGUUCGAAUCUCACCGCUUCCG